GUCAAGGUUGUUUCUCUUCUCAGUAUGGCUAUUGUCUUCCUCGAAAACUGAGAUUGAAAAAGUCUAAAAGGAUCUCUUUGGCAGGAGGUUCAAAUAUGUCUCCAUAGGUUUAACUGUUGUUGGUGUGAUUCUGAUUUCCAAGCAUGUGAUUCAGUAUAUUGUAGAGAGAAGGCGGGGGCGAUUGUUACGGAAAAGAGUUGCUGAUGCAGCUGCUAAGAGAGCCGAACUAGUAACUGGAGGAUUGGAAACUCAACAUGAGAACAGCUCAGAUAAUACA